GACGAACGCUGGCGGCGUGCUUAACACAUGCAAGUCGAACGGAAAGGCCCAGCUUGCUGGGUGCUCGAGUGGCGAACGGGUGAGUAACACGUGGGUGAUCUGCCUCUAACUUCGGGAUAAGCUUGGGAAACUGGGUCUAAUACCGGAUAGGACAAUCGUUUAGUGUCGGUUGUGGAAAGUUUUUUCGGUUAGGGAUGAGCCCGCGGCCUAUCAGCUUGUUGGUGGGGUAAUGGCCUACCAAGGCGUCGACGGGUAGCCGGCCUGAGAGGGUGGACGGCCACAUUGGGAGUGAGAAACGGCCCAGACUCCUACGGGAGGCAGGAGUGGGGAAUAUUGCACAAUGGGCGGAAGCCUGAUGCAGCGACGCCGGGUGGGGGAUGACGGCCUUCGGGUUGUAAACCUCUUUCGACAGGGACGAAGCUUUGGUGACGGUACCUGUAUAAGAAGCACCGGCUAACUACGUG
rnacentral:rRNA from 1 species